rnacentral:rRNA from 1 species
AGAGUUUGAUCCUGGCUCAGAACGAACGCUGGCGGCAGGCCUAACACAUGCAAGUCGGACGAGAAGGUUCCUUCGGGAACUGGAGAGUGGCGCACGGGUGAGUAACGCGUGGGGACCUACCUCUUAGUGGGGGAUAACGGUUGGAAACGACCGCUAAUACCGCAUACGCCCUUCGGGGGAAAGAUUUAUCGCUAAGAGAUGGACCCGCGUUGGAUUAGAUAGUUGGUGAGGUAACGGCUCACCAAGUCAGCGAUCCAUAGCUGGUUUGAGAGGAUGAUCAGCCACACUGGGACUGAGACACGGCCCAGACUCCUACGGGAGGCAGCAGUGGGGAAUAUUGGACAAUGGGGGCAACCCUGAUCCAGCCAUGCCGCGUGAGUGAAGAAGGCCUUCGGGUUGUAAAGCUCUUUCAGAUGCGAAGAUGAUGACGGUAACAUCAGAAGAAGCCCCGGCUAAUUUCGUGCCAGCAGCCGCGGUAAUACGAAAGGGGCUAGCGUUGUUCGGAUUUACUGGGCGUAAAGGGCACGCAGGCGGUCUUGCCAGUCAGGGGUGAAAGCCCGGGGCUCAACCCCGGAACUGCCUCUGAUACUGCAAGACUAGAGACUAGGAGAGGGUGGUGGAAUUCCCAGUGUAGAGGUGAAAUUCGUAGAUAUUGGGAGGAACACCAGAGGCGAAGGCGGGCCACCUGGACUAGAUCUGACGCUCAGGUGCGAAAGCGUGGGGAGCAAACAGGAUUAGAUACCCUGUAGUCCACGCCGUAGACGAUGAGUGCUAGUUGUCGGGAUUUCGAUUUCGUGACGCAGCUAACGCAUUAAGCACUCCCGCCUGGGGAGUACGGGU